rnacentral:lncRNA from 1 species
UGACUCUAAAGGAGACCUGACAGCCUUCCUUCUCUGGUCCUCCUUUCCUGAAAGUCAAUUUAUUGAUGACAGUCAAAUAUUAAAAGUUAAGAUGGAAGAAAUAAAAGCCAUUUCCUCACUUCAGAGAAACCAGCAAGUAUCCCCAGAAGAUGGCAGGGUGAGAGAGGAAACAGAGAAAAGCAACUGCGGAGAGAGAACAGAAUUCUCCUGAGAGCUUUCCAUGGAGACUUCUCGUGGGAGGAGAUGCUUGGGGGUCCCAGUUGUUGCAGUCACGGCGAUUUCAAUAUCCACAAUAUUGUCGCUAUACACUGCGUUGACAAAGCCUUGGUGAUAUCCUCGGUCCCAGCUGCUGCUGACUGACAGACCUAGAAAGGCCCAUCUACUGGGGUUCGGUACGUUUGGCGGGGGGCAAAGGUGAAUGGUUGUUACUGUUCUAAAGCGACUGCUUUAUAAUGGUUUGUUAUACAGCGAUAGAGAAAAUGCUGAGUUCUCUGUAGAGUUAUGUGCGAGUUUAUUACGUUGAGACAGACUCCUAUUAGAAGUGAG